UGCGUAGGUGGCGAGCGUUGUCCGGAUUUACUGGGCGUAAAGAGCGCGCAGGCGGCUGGUCAAGUCCGAUGUGAAAGCUCCCGGCUUAACUGGGAAAUUGCAUCGGAAACUGAUCGGCUGGAAGGUGGGAGAGGGUAGCGGAAUUCCCGGUGUAGUGGUGAAAUGCGUAGAUAUCGGGAGGAACACCAGUGGCGAAAGCGGCUACCUGGCCCAUUCUUGACGCUGAGGCGCGAAAGCUAGGGGAGCAAACGGG
rnacentral:rRNA from 1 species